UUCAGCCCAUCCACUAAUUCCUCACUUACAAUAUAAAAAAAUACUGCUUUUGAUACACACCUGCACACCACUACAGCUGGAGAAUCAGGAUUGUCCAGAUUUUCCUUCAGCUGUCAAGUCAAGAAUUUCAAAAGGGAAGGAGAGAGUUUGAGCAACUCCUGCCGCAAGACAGCCAUUGAUGAAGUUUUGCAAAGAUGUGAAGCGAACAUGACGCUCCUGCCACAAUUUAUCCAAGUUGAUAUAAACUGCAUAGCAGCCAACCGAGAAGGGAACAGCACCUAUUCCAUGGCCUGCGAAGAAUGAAACUCCUUCACUGUUGAUAAGAAGAGGAAAGACUAAAGCGCUCAAAGGCAUGGUCUACACGGUUUUGGGGCCGAGUGAAGAAGGAGGGGAGGUAAAUCGGCUGAUAAAGAUCACCAUGGGUCUUUGAUCUUUAAGAAACUGAUAAGACGUUACCAAGUGGCAUGCUGGGUGGACAAGCAGGCCCACAUGACAGGUACAAACAAGCAAACACAGCCCCAGAGGUGAUGUCUUCAAGGAGAGCCAGAUAGAGGAAUGGCAGAUGGGCAAUUAGCCGUUUCGCUUUGGAGUGAAGUGGACUGAAAAGUUAACACAGCACACUUGCCUCACUGAGCAAAGUACUUUAGACUUCGUGUGAGAUGCGUUAUGCAUGAGUAAGGACAUUAUUUAUGACUUUAAAACAUAUGUAUUUAGAAAUCUAACUCCCUUUUAGGUUAAAUCAGCUUGGAAGAACAAUGAAAGAACAUGCUCCAUUUGCACAGCACAUUAUGCAUUUGAAAUACAUCCAACCUGUAUAUCCUCCGCAGGAAAGUGGAGAAAAAGAUAUGCAUUGAAACAUUAGGUGUAAAUAGGUAAAUGAGUUUGUCGCAUAUGACAAAACACAUCUCAAUACAGUAGCGCAGCAAGUACCUGGAGGAAACAUUCGCAGCUGGAUCCCUCAAGAUUUUCAUAUGCAGGUUUUUAUAUAUUAAGGUGUAACUACAGUGCUCAGCAUAUAUGAGUACACCCCCCACAAAUCUCUCACUUACAUUUAUGUUUUCUAUAGGAUCCUUUAUUAUAUUUGUGCAUAUGCAUUAGUUUUGUCAGUACUGAAGCCAAAUCUUGAGCUGAUCUAACAAAAUAACUUACGUUAAUGGUUCAAAAUUUAGCAGCCCAACUUUCUUAGCGAAAA